rnacentral:rRNA from 1 species
CCUACGGGUGGCAGCAGUGGGGAAUAUUGGGCAAUGGGCGAAAGCCUGACCCAGCAACGCCGCGUGAAGGAAGAAGGCUUUCGGGUUGUAAACUUCUUUUGACAGGGAAGAGCAGAAGACGGUACCUGUCGAAUAAGCCACGGCUUACUACGUGCCAGCAGCCGCGGUAAUACGGAGGGUGCGAGCGUUAAUCGGAAUUACUGGGCGGAAAGUGCUCGGGGGGGGUAUGGUAAGUCAAGGGUGAAAUCCCCGCGCUCAACGUGGGAACUGUCUUUGAAACUGGCAAACUGGAGUGUGUGAGAGGAUAGUGGAAUUCCAGGUGUAGGAGUGAAAUCCGUAGAUAUCUGGAGGAACAUCAGUGGCGAAGGCGACUAUCUGGCACAUAACUGACGCUGAGGAGCGAAAGCGUGGGUAGCAAACAGGAUUAGAUACCCGAGUAGUC